rnacentral:tRNA from 1 species
GGGGUUGUGGCUCAGUGGUAGAGUGCUCGCCUAGUGUGCGUGAAGCACUGGGUUUGAUCCUCAGCACCA